rnacentral:rRNA from 1 species
GAUGAACGCUGGCGGCGUGCCUAAUACAUGCAAGUCGAGCGAACGGACGAGAGGCUUGCUCCUCUGAUGUUAGCGGCGGACGGGCGAGUAACUAGUGGAUAACCUACCUAUAAGACUGGGAUAACUUCGGGAAACCGGAGCUAAUACCGGAUAAUAUUUUGAACUGCAUGGUUCACAAGUGAAAGACGGUCUUGCUGUCACUUAUAGAUGGAUCCGCGCUGCAUUAGCUAGUUGGUAAGGUCACGGCUUACCAAGGCAACGCUGCAUAGCCGACCUGAGAGGGGAGUAAGCUACACUGGAACGGAGCCACGGUCCAGACCCCUACGGGAGGCAGCGGUAGGGAGUCUUACGCAAGGGGCGAAAGCCUGGCGGAGAACCGCCGAGUGGGGGAUGAAGGUCUUCGGAUCGUAAAUCUAUGUUAUUAGGGAAGAACAUAUGUGUAAGUAACUGGGCAGAUCUUGACGGUACCUAAUCAGAAAGCAACGGCUAACUACGUG